rnacentral:rRNA from 1 species
UGGGGAAUUUUCCGCAAUGGGCGAAAGCCUGACGGAGCAAUACCGCGUGAGGGAGGAAGGCUCUUGGGUUGUAAACCUCUUUUCUCAGGGAAGAAGUUCUGACGGUACCUGAGGAAUAAGCAUCGGCUAACUCCGUGCCAGCAGCCGCGGUAAUACGGAGGAUGCAAGCGUUAUCCGGAAUUAUUGGGCGUAAAGCGUCCGCAGGUGGUUUUGCAAGUCUGCUGUCAAAGCGCGUGGCUCAACCAUGCAAAGGCAGUGGAAACUGAAAAGCUAGAGUGCGAUAGGGGCAGAGGGAAUUCCCGGUGUAGCGGUGAAAUGCGUAGAUAUCGGGAAGAACACCGGUGGCGAAAGCGCUCUGCUAGGUCUGCACUGACACUCAGGGACGAAAGCUAGGGGAGCG